rnacentral:tRNA from 1 species
GGGGCAUUGGCGCAGUUGGUAGCGCGUCUCCAUGGCAUGGAGAAGGUCAGGGGUUCGAAUCCCCUAUGCUCCACCA